CUGGGAAGACAUUUGCCUUUUAUUGUCUCCUCGGACAGGCUUAGCAUUUAAAGGCUUUUAUCUCCUUUUUACGGCUUUUAGGGUGGGCUCCAAGCCAACAGGUACUUUGUGUCCUUGCUCUGUGUUAAAUUGCAUCAUGCAAAAAUGAGGCUUGGGAACAAAUCAUGAGCUGAGAGAACGGUUCCUUCGGUGGAAGCAGAAAGCCGCAGUAGAGCCCAGAGCCACACUGUGCAGCUGCAGCAGGAGCAGUGGGCAGCGAUGUGGCAGGGGACACACAGCCACCAGAUCUGAGGAUGCAGGGCCAGGGUCUCCCCAGCUUCCCCCACGGAUGGGGCAGCAGUGAGGGGUGUCCGUAGAAGCAAGGGGAGUCCAUAGCAAUGAAGGAUAACCAGCAGCAAGGGGUGUCCAUAGCAGCAAGGGAUGCCUGCAGCAGAUUUGCCCAGCUGGCCAGAGUGCAGCCCCUUUGAGGGGUGAGCAUUGCACUGCAAUGACCCACAGCUUCAGGACAGGCUGUUCGUGACACGGGGCUGUUAGCUCCAUAGCAGGCAUUGAAUUGAAUGCGCUUUUUGUGAUGCUUCCUGCUGACACCAGGCACAGGCUCUCAGGAUGACACGGCUCUGCUCUCCCACCCAGCGCCCCGCCGCUCACCCCAUAUCUGCCCUGUGACAUGCCCUGCCCUCACCUGCCCCUGGGACUUCUCUCCACUGCGGAUUACAGUGCUGCAGACAGAGCUGGACGUGCAGUGGUGGCACAUAGCAGUGAUGUGGUCAGCCCGUUAGGAAGAGAACAGUCUGAAGUCAGGAGGAACAGCAUGAAACGCAUCCUCUGGAAGGCUGACAGCCCACUUCAGUGCUAUCCAGCCACCCUGGCCUCUCCCGUGGGGCUGGGAGCCCUGCAGGAACACAGGGUUGCAAGCACUGCUGGGCACUCACAGAGGUUAAAACCGCAGCCGCUGCCUUCCCAGAGCCCACCCCAUGCUGGCAGCAUCAGCACCGUAUCUCCCAGCACCGCCCAGGCUGGGGCAGGUAUCAUCUGGAGGGGGGGGCAGGGGGAUGCAGAGCCUCUGCCCCUCUGUGGGUACCCCCGCAUGCAGCCGGGGGCACGGGGACGGCCUGCGGAGGGCAGCGGCAAACGGAGGGUUAACGGCAUCCUUCCCACCCAGCGUCCGCUGUGUGCCAGUCCUCCAGCCAUGUGUUUGAAAUCCUUUCUGCUAUCUCCUGAAAAUAUUUACAGUACAUGCAGAUAAAUUAGCUGCAGCGCUUAUUACGUCUCCCUGGAAAUAUAUACAGCAGUUAAAGAUGUUUAAAAAAAUAGCCGAAAGCCGUCUCUUUACUAUAUCUGGAAGAUAUUUCACAGCGAGGGGAAUUUACAGGGCCGGGUGGCAGGGAAAUCGCAUUUAUUUUCACUCGAGUAGAGAAAGUUAAAGGACCCUUCAGCUGAGUUUAUUUUCAUCUCUGCUCGCAAGACGAGGGCCAAGCAGUGCUCGGGGAGGAGCUCAGCCCCACGGCUCAGGGCACGGGCUGAGCCUGCUUGCUCCCCAGCAACACAGCCCUUACGCUUCCCCGCAGCCCUCACAGCUCCCGUUUGCUAUCCCAUGCCCAGGCUGCAGGCCCGCUCCUCCAGAAGUCCCCUGCAAUAGGGUGCAAGGUUGUUGGGGAAUGCAUCUCCGCCCCGAGCAGCACCCGUGGCCCCGCUGCCUGGAGGUCACUGAAGCCCUGGCGAUGGAAUCCGUGGCUCUCAGCCCUUCUCUUUGCACUGCUUCCCCAGCUGAGCCACCUGCCAGCGGGGCAGUGGAGGCCCAGCUUCUUAACGCACCCUCCGGCUUGAGGGCGCUGACCAGAUGUCGAGUGACAGCAUCUCCUGGGCCACUGGCAUGGAGCUGCUGGCCUUGACGUAAAAGGCUUUGGGAAGCCAUUUGCUAAUUCCCCUGAGUCACCCGCUCCCUCCGGCUGUUUUGAAAUUCAUAUCUAAUGAGUGGUUUGGGUGAAGGAAUUCUGCAAAGAUGCAAACAAUCCCUUUGCCAAAAUAAAGAGAGCCAGAGCUGGGCUUAUAAACAUAUAAAUCAUUUCUAGUUUUUAGUUUGCAAACAAGAUACUUGUUUCUUCAUGAGCAUUUUGGGGAGAGCAGGGAGAAAGUGCUGGGCCAGGGGGCAGUGGGCAGUGACCAUAAGCAGAUAGCAGCGGCCCCAGAGCCAUCCCUGCCUCCCCCCAGGCCGGGCACUGCACCACUGCACUCCUGAGGUCUCCACGGGAAGGAGUCCUCAAGCAGUGACCUGCAACAAAGUGACUUGUCCAACAGCUGGUGUUGGUGGUUGGUGUUGGUGGUGCUCCAGGCUGGGCAGAGCAGCAAGGUCCCUGCCCUGCAGGCAGGAAGGUGCCAGCCGGGCCAGCAGGCACCGGAAAGUGGUGGCAGUGCUGGCAGGGAGGUGAGUGAUGCCAACCAGCAUCAUACAGCCCUACGGUUGGGCUCCGAACCAUCGUGAGCACUCUGGCAGCCUUCUCUCCAGCAUCUGUUGGCCAUUUCCUUUCAUUGCUGGGUGCCUAUCACUGCCAAGGAGCUGCCCGGCAGCCCCGGCUCCUGCUCCUGCCAGCAUCUCUGUGCCCGUGGCAGUGAUGGGGACAGGGAGUAGAGCACGGGGGGCAGCAGCAGAGGGGCCACACUCACAGUGUCCCUUCCUGCAGCACCCUGGGUUUGGGCAGUUUGCACUGCCAGUGUCCAUCAGCGCAGAGCAUGGCUUCACCGCAGGGCUGGUUAAACUCUCUGCUUCAUUAUACAUGUGUGAUUGAGGCUGGUUUGUUGAGGGACAAGAGAAAAAAAGCUGUGGGGCACUCAAAAUGACAUCGGACACAACACAGCAGAAGGGAGCUCACCUGUCUGCAGGCUGCCUCAGGCCAAUCACUUGGGAAGCCACGGCUUCCAUCAGGUCCUAUGGGCUCAGCAAGCACAGCCGCAGCCACGCCAUGCAGCCAUGAAGAUUGAUCUGGGAAGCCAGCACUGCCAUGCUGCUGUGGGAGCCGAGCAAAGAGCAGCACCGGGGAAGAAGCACCAGCAUCCCCAGAUGUCCCCUGGUGCCACCUGGGUGGGAAAUGCAGGGGGGGACCUGCACCUCCGAGCAGGGCCCACUUCCACGGCCAGUGUGUGCUAAGUGCAUUUUUUCCCAAAUAAAGUGUUCUGACUUGGUCAAAUUUGAGUAUAUUCCAGGGACACGAGACAAAUCUCAGCCUCUCUCCCUUCCCUACUUGCCAAAUUUCAAGCUCCUGCUUCAAAAGGCAGAAUUUUAAAACAAAAUAAGGACAAAUGCUUUAUCUCCUUGUACCCUCGCUCUUGGAAACAGCCUGGCUCUCUGGAUGAGACUUUCCCCCCCCCCAAAUUUAAUAAGAAGCCGCAACCCACCCUGAAAUAUUACCACCCAGCCUGGAAUGGUUUGGCAAAGCUGCCAGCAGCCGAAGGCAGCAUUUGACACCAGGGAGCACCAAGCGUCCUUAAAACUCGGGGGCAUCUCCAGCUCCCACCGCGAGCACAUGGAGCCUGUCUGCAGCGCGCUCACAGCGCACUCACUUUAUUUAUAGGAUGCUGUGUAUGCGCCUCGUCCUUCCAGGGGCUCUUUCUCCUUUUUUUUUUUUUUUUUUUGGCUUGCGGAAGCCGGGCAGAUAACUAAAGCUGUUCCUCACUUUCACAGCAGAUAAGCUAAUUGUCGGAUGUGCCCUUUGAGAUAAGCGGAUCCCGGGUUUACGAGGGAACAUGUGUUCUGGGGAAGCGCCGUCACCGAGCCCUGAUGCAGGCGAUAACCCACGGGCGUGCAGACUCCCUCCCUGGGAAGCACGGGGCCCUGCUUCCAUCCUACCCGUGGCCAUGGCACUUGGGCUGCCUGCCGUGGGCUGCAGGAGCAGCGCUGCGGUACCUUUUGGGGAGGUUCCCGUACCUCCCAGCUCUGCCACUCCUGAGCGAGGAGAUGCCUUGGUACAGACCCUGCAGGUUGUCUGGUCAGUCCAGGAGGCGCUCGAAGUGUGUGCCGAGCCAUCCUCCUGUGCACCGUGGCUCAUCUCUGCCUGGUGGGAGGUGGGAGAAUAGAGCCCCGAAAAGUUUAUAGUCGGGCAAAGGCAGAGCACUGCAGCCCGACGCCUAUUGAAACCCAUGACAAAAACUCGGUGACUUUACGAGGGUCAGGCCAGGCCGGCGGUGCCAAUGACUCCCUGGUGGCACUGCUGGGUGGUUAGUUCACGCUGUGAAGCAGAGCCACAUGGGCCCAUCAGCAGUGUGGCAACAGUGCCCAGCUCUCAGUGCCAGGGAUGCUGUGUCCAGCCGCAGCAUCACCACCCACAGCCAUGCCCACAGGAGCUGCACACUUGGAGGCACCCCACGCCUUCCAUCCUAUCGUCCCUGUCCCCAUCAGCUCCCCAGGACACAGUGAGGCCACGCUCCCUCGCCCCCCAGUGGGAGAACCACCCUCCGCUGUCCCUUCCUUCCCUCCCCCCGAACAGCCAUCACUCACCAGGCUUUGAUUAUGGCCACAAAGGAGCCUUGGAGGAACCAUGGGGAAGCUGGAGGGAGGCAGGCAGAUGAUGAAAGAGCUGUCAAAUGGGAUUAAACAGUAACCGUCUCCCCUACCGCUGGGCAGUGGGAAGGGGGACAGAUUGUACUGGAUUGUAAUGCAUGAGCCCUCCUGCUGCUGGAGCCUGCCAGGCCCGUCCCCUGCAGGCUGCCGACUGGGCCCUGCUGUGGGCAGCGGGACAGCAGGAUCCGUCCCUGGGGCUGAGGAUGGAGAGCUGGGCCUGAGGGAGCGGGGUGGAGGAAGGGUCAGUGAGGAGCUGCUGGUGGAGCUGCUCUGGCCUUGGGUGGGCAAGGUGCAGGAUGCACAUCAGGGAUGCUCUCUCUCCUCAUGUCCUCCUGCAGGCACUGAGCACACCGGCAAUGGGCCCGCAGCACCGAGAGCAGGGCUGGGAUGUCACAGCGAGCAGAGCCAUCCCACGUGCAGCCCUCACUCUGAUCGUCCCACGUGCAUCUUGGCCUUCCCAGGGGUGAGCAGCACAGCGGUUCCAGCACCUGGCACACAGCUCCCUGUGCAUCACAGUGCCACCAGCCCUGGACUCUGUGCUGGUUCCUCAGUCCCUCUGUAGGAGCAGACGCAUUCACACAUCAGGGGCUGCAGCAAUGGGGGACAUUGGCACAGACCACACCGUCCCGGCACAGGAGCUCAUCAGCACUCCUACAAGCCUUGGACAGGGAACCCUCCACCAAAACCACCCCAACCUCACUCUUGCGCCUUCCCAUGCAGCUCCACCAUCCCCCCUGGAGCCAUGUCUCAACGCAUUAAGUGACACAGAAGGGCGGCCCCUCCCCGGUGGCCACACAGAGCCAGCGGUGGAGGUGCAGGGUGAGCAGGGAGGGCCGGGUCCCCACGGGCGGGGGGCACAGAGCACCCCUACCCCAGCACCACCACCCUGAGCUUCCCCGAGGCACAGAGAGAGGCCGCGCACAGCCCCUGCCCCCCACCGCCCCCCG
ensembl:lncRNA